AACGCACAUUGCACUCUCUGGUAUUCCGGAGAGUAUGCUUGUUUGAGUAUCUGUAAACAUCUCAAAUCUCUCUUCGCUUGCGUUGGGAGAAUUGGAUUUGAGCGAUCCCGACUCCUUCAUCAGAAAGAGGAGGGUCGCUUGAAAUGCAGGUGCAGCUGGACAUUCUUCUGAGCUAAAAGCAUAUCUAUUUAGUCCCGUCAAACGGAUUAUUACUUUUGCUUCAGCUAAUAUAAAGGUCGAAUGAACUACCAACGCUGAUUGCAGGAAAACUUGUUCGUUUAUUCGAACUUGUAAACUCGAUCUCAAAUCAAGUAAGACUACCCGCUGAACUUAA
rnacentral:misc_RNA from 1 species